UUGACAGAAGAAAGAGAGCAC
rnacentral:ncRNA from 4 species